rnacentral:rRNA from 1 species
UACGGAGGGUGCGAGCGUUGUCCGGAAUCAUUGGGCGUAAAGGGCGCGUAGGUGGCCGUGCUAAGCGUGCGGUGAAAGUCGGGGGCUCAACCCCCCGAUCGGCCGUGCGAACUGGGAGGCUUGAGCACUGUAGAGGCAGGCGGAAUUCCGGGUGUAGGCGGUGGAAUGCGUAGAGAUCCGGAAGAACACCGGUGGCGAAGGCGGCCUGCUGGGCAGUUGCUGGACACUGAGGCGCGACAGCGUGGGGGAGCAAACAGG